GAGUUUGAUUAUGGCUCAGGAUGAACGCUAGCGAUAGGCUUAACACAUGCAAGUCGAGGGGCAGCAUAGAAUCAGCUUGCUGAUUUGGAUGGCGACCGGCGGAUGGGUGCGUAACGCGUAUGCAACUUACCUGUCAGAGGGGGAUAACCCGGAGAAAUUCGGACUAAUACCGCAUACACUUGAGAUGCUGCAUGGUAUUUCAAGGAAAUAUUUAUAGCUGACAGAUAGGCAUGCGUUCCAUUAGCUGGUAGGUGAGGUAACGGCUCACCUAGGCGACGAUGGCUAGGGGAACUGAGAGGUUAAACCCCCACACUGGUACUGAGACACGGACCAGACUCCUACGGGAGGCAGCAGUGAGGAAUAUUGGUCAAUGGGCGAGAGCCUGAACCAGCCAAUUCGCGUGAAGGAUGACUGCCCUAUGGGUUGUAAACUUCUUUAGUAGGGGAUUAAAGUUUGCCUUGCGAGGCAAUNU
rnacentral:rRNA from 1 species